UUUAACAAGCCGACCACCAACACCCAAAAAAGCAAAAACAUAGUGAAGACCUGAAGAAAAAACCUCAGUGCCCUCUGCUUCUCUCACAAUUUCUCCGGCCCCCUGUUAACACAAACAUGAAGUGUUUUGAGACCGGCCAAUCCUUAACCAACGAAACCUUAAGUGUGAAGAAAAAAGGAAAGAAGCCCAGGGCUCCCAGGAAGGAAAGUGAACUGAGAGAUUUGAAGCACAAGAAGCAUACAUGUUCUAAAAGGAGGUUUGAGAAAACGAUGAAGAAGCAGAAAAGUUUGGAAUCAACGAUAGAAGAUCUUAAGAAAGAAAUGAACCACGAGGAGUUGCAGGAAUACCAAGAAAAGCUGGGGCGAUUCGAGCAGAACCUUGCCGAGAUUAGAAUGCAAUUCUCUCUGGCAAAAGAAAUAAAUGAUGACGACCAGAUUUUCUUGAAUUCUAUAAUUGCUCUUUUGUUCCCUUGAAAUGAAGGAGAUGAAGGGAGGAGCAGUGAGGAACUAACUCCAGGAGGUGGGGAUUUUGGGUUGCACAGGGAGAUUCAGCUCAUAUUGAAAAUUGAUGGUUGAUGGGUGCUGAUUUUGCAUUUAAGGGUGGGAUGGCUGUUUGGGGAUUCUGCGGUGGUUUAGUUCUUCAGGCCAAAACCCUCUUAUGAUUAAGUGCUAAGAGUUCCAAACUUGUGGUAAGGAGGAAAUCAAACUUCGGGAGUUCUCCUUUUAUCCAAUUAGAGUAUAUUUAGUUAUCGAACAUCAGUAUCGUGACAUGAUUAUUGUUUUAAGACUUUAUAUGGAGUGUAAACAAUGUUGCUUGUUUGUCAUUUCA